UCGUGCCAGCCACCGCGGUUAUACGAGAGGCCCUAGUUGACAUAAACGGCGUAAAGAGUGGUUAAAAAAUAAACGAAAUAAAACCAAAGACUCUCUAAGUUGUCGUACACAUUCAGAGAAUACGAAGCCCAAACACGAAAGUAGCUUUAUAAUAUAUUUGACCCCACGAAAGCUAAGAAACAAACUAGGAUUAGAUACCCCAC
rnacentral:rRNA from 1 species